UACGUAGGGUGCAAUCGUUAAUCGGAAUUACUGGGCGUAAAGCGUACGCAGGCGGCUUUGCAAGACAGGUGUGAAAUCCCCGGGCCUAACCUGGGAACUGCAUUUGUGACUGCAUGGCUAGAGUCUGUCAGAGGGGGGUGGAAUUCCACGUGUAGCAGUGAAAUGCGUAGAGAUGUGGAAGAACACCGAUGGCGAAGGCAGCCACCUGGGAUGAGACUGACGCUCAUGUACGAAAGCGUGGGGAGCAAACAGG
rnacentral:rRNA from 1 species